rnacentral:sRNA from 1 species
CUGCGGAAGGAUCAUUAUAGAAUGAAAUGGGCUGUUGCUGGCUCCUCGCAUGUGCACGUCCUGUCAUUUAUUUCUCCUCUGUGCACCAACUGUAGGACUGGAGUUUUUUUCAGGUCUACGUUUUUUACAAUCUCUCAAAUGUGUUUGGAAUGUCAUAUAUACAAAUUAUACAACUUUCAGCAACGGAUCUCUUGGCUCUCGCAUCGAUGAAGAACGCAGCGAAAUGCGAUAAGUAAUGUGAAUUGCAGAAUUCAGUGAAUCAUCGAAUCUUUGAACGCAUCUUGCGCUCCUUGGUACUCUGAGGAGCAUGCCUGUUUGAGUGUCAUAAAAGUUCUCAACCUGUCAUUGUUAAUGUGAUGGAUUGGACUGUUGGAAUUUGCAGGCUUUUUUUAAAGGUCUGCUUUUCUGAAAUGAAUUAGUGGCAUCUGAGCAUGAGGGAGACCACUACAGGUUGUAUUUAUGCCUCUUGUAAAGUCUCUGUUGCCCAAAGCUGCUUCAACUAAAUUAUCAAAUGACAAUUUGACCUCAAAUCAGGUAGGACUACCCGCUGAACUUAAGCAUAUCAAUAAGCGGAA